rnacentral:rRNA from 1 species
CUGGAGGUAUCAGAAGUGCGAAUGCUGACAUAAGUAACGAUAAAGCGGGUGAAAAGCCCGCUCGCCGGAAGACCAAGGGUUCCUGUCCAACGUUAAUCGGGGCAGGGUGAGUCGACCCCUAAGGCGAGGCCGAAAGGCGUAGUCGAUGGGAAACAGGUUAAUAUUCCUGUACUUGGUGUUACUGCGAAGGGGGGACGGAGAAGGCUAUGUUAGCCGGGCGACGGUUGUCCCGGUUUAAGCAUGUAGGCGGAGGUUCCAGGUAAAUCCGGUACCUUUUAACGCUGAGGUGUGAUGACGAGGCACUACGGUGCUGAAGUAACAAAUGCCCUGCUUCCAGGAAAAGCCUCUAAGCAUCAGGUAACACGAAAUCGUACCCCAAACCGACACAGGUGGUCAGGUAGAGAAUACCAAGGCGCUUGAGAGAACUCGGGUGAAGGAACUAGGCAAAAUGGUGCCGUAACUUCGGGAGAAGGCACGCUGACAUGUAGGUGAAGCCCCUGCGGGUGGAGCUGAAGUCAGUCGAAGAUACCAGCUGGCUGCAACUGUUUAUUAAAAACACAGCACUGUGCAAACACGAAAGUGGACGUAUACGGUGUGACGCCUGCCCGGUGCCGGAAG